GGAAACUUUGUCCACUCCCUCACAUUAGGAAGCACAGAAAGAGAGUGGGGAAAAAAUUUUGGUUAGGGGCACUGCUGGAUGAGAUGCAACAGGCUCAAUAAGAAGACAGAAAGAAACAAACAACUCGUUUCCGCUUUGCGAGCAGAUCCGCAUGGCCAGAAGGCUCCCUGUAGGGUUGGAGACCCGGCACCAGCAGUGACCAGAAUAUGAAUAAAACUGAAGUGAAAACAUAUUAGAAAUUAAGGCCAGCUUUCCUGAAUCGUAGAGUUCUCCUAUGUGCCAAAGGUAAUUUGGCUACACAUUGACAUCAGACUUUCUUACAAGCAGCAACAGAAAUGGAAAAUCAGAG
rnacentral:lncRNA from 1 species